GUAAGGUGAUAUGAACCGUUAUAACCGGCGAUACCCGAAUGGGGAAACCCAGUGUGAUUCGUCACACUAUCAUUAACUGAAUCCAUAGGUUAAUGAGGCGAACCGGGGGAACUGAAACAUCUAAGUACCCCGAGGAAAAGAAAUCAACCGAGAUUCCCCCAGUAGCGGCGAGCGAACGGGGAGGAGCCCAGAGCCUGAAUCAGCAUGUGUGUUAGUGGAAGCGUCUGGAAAGGCGCGCGAUACAGGGUGACAGCCCCGUACACAAAAGCGCAUGUGCUGUGAGCUCGAUGAGUAGGGCGGGACACGUGGUAUCCUGUCUGAAUAUGGGGGGACCAUCCUCCAAGGCUAAAUACUCCUGACUGACCGAUAGUGAACCAGUACCGUGAGGGAAAGGCGAAAAGAACCCCGGCGAGGGGAGUGAAAAAGAACCUGAAACCGUGUACGUACAAGCAGUGGGAGCCCCACCACUAAGCCAGUGGUGAA
rnacentral:rRNA from 1 species